CCCCGUCAGGACGAACGCUGGCGGCGUGCCUAAUACAUGCAAGUCGAACGCUUCUUUUCCCACCGGAGCUUGCUCCACCGGGAAAAGAGGAGUGGCGAACGGGUGAGUAACACGUGGGUAACCUGCCCAUCAGAAGGGGAUAACACUUGGAAACAGGUGCUAAUACCGUAUAACAAUCGAAACCGCAUGGUUUCGUUUUGAAAGGCGCUUUACGGUGCCGCUGAUGGAUGGACCCGCGGUGCAUUAGCUAGUUGGUGAGGUAACGGCUCACCAAGGCCACGAUGCAUAGCCGACCUGAGAGGGUGAUCGGCCACAUUGGGACUGAGACACGGCCCAAACUCCUACGGGAGGCAGCAGUAGGGAAUCUUCGGCAAUGGACGAAAGUCUGACCGAGCAACGCCGCGUGAGUGAAGAAGGUUUUCGGAUCGUAAAACUCUGUUGUUAGAGAAGAACAAGGGUGAGAGUAACUGUUCACCCCUUGACGGUAUCUAACCAGAAAGCCACGGCUAACUACGUGCCAGCAGCCGCGGUAAUACGUAGGUGGCAAGCGUUGUCCGGAUUUAUUGGGCGUAAAGCGAGCGCAGGCGGUUUCUUAAGUCUGAUGUGAAAGCCCCCGGCUCAACCGGGGAGGGUCAUUGGAAACUGGGAGACUUGAGUGCAGAAGAGGAGAGG
rnacentral:rRNA from 1 species